UCAUUCGAGCCUCGUGAAUCU
rnacentral:siRNA from 1 species